GCUUAUGGCCAUACCACCCUGAGCAAGCCCGAUCUCGUCUGAUCUCGAAAGCUAAGCAGAGUCGGGCCUGGUUAGUACUUGAAUGGGAGACCGCCUGGGAAUACCAGGUAAUCUAAGCU
rnacentral:rRNA from 1 species